UACAGAGGUCUCAAGCGUUGUUCGGAUUCAUUGGGCGUAAAGGGUGUGUAGGUGGCGCUGUAAGUCGGGUGUGAAAUUUCGGAGCUUAACUCCGAAACUGCAUUCGAUACUGCGGUGCUUGAGGACUGGAGAGGAGACUGGAAUUCAUGGUGUAGCAGUGAAAUGCGUAGAGAUCAUGAGGAAGACCAGUGGCGAAGGCGGGUCUCUGGACAGUUCCUGACGCUGAGGCACGAAGGCCAGGGGAGCAAACGGG
rnacentral:rRNA from 1 species